ACGGAGGGUGCAAGCGUUGUUCGGAAUUACUGGGCGUAAAGGGCGCGUAGGCGGCUUGAUAAGUCAGAUGUGAAAGCCCACGGCUUAACUGUGGAAGUGCAUUUGAAACUGUCAGACUUGAGUACCAGAGGGGAAAGUGGAAUUCCCGGUGUAGGAGUGAAAUUCGGAGAUAUCUGGGGGAAUACCGGUGGCGAAGGCGUCUUUCUGGGUGGAUUCUGACGGUGAGGCGCGAAAGCGUGGGGAGCAAACAG
rnacentral:rRNA from 1 species